UAUUAGCUACGCCCGGUUCCCGUUGACCCAGGUGAGAAAAGGCGGGUGCUGCUCGCGUGGAUAAUCCUUCUGGUCUACCUGGUCCCGGUGCACGUGACUUUCCCUUAAAACCCCUUCCAGUGGCCGAGAAAUAGAGGAUAAACCCAGACUCUGCUCGGCCGUUAACCGUCAAAAAACACCAAAGCUCGCGCGGCUCGCAGCUCAAAGCUCACUCUCCGCUUUCGCUAAUGUCAGCUCUUCAUCUCUUCUCUCUCCAUGGCUCCUCCUCCGCCUUCCCGAACCUUCCCAUCGCUUCACCUCAAUGCUCUCCAUCCUCCGCCUCGCUUCCUCUCCUCCGCUUAGUCUCACCUCCCGUCAUCUUCCCCUCCCUCACCAGCUCCGCCGGAAAAUAUCCAAACCAAACCUGCCAUACAGUGAGCUGUGCGGAUAGCGAAGCUCCCGAAAUUGAAACCAGUGCUGGUGCAGAAGAAGAGGAACCGGAAUUGGAAGAUUUCUAUGACGACGGAGAGGCACCUGAGGAGAGCGAUGACGAGGGGGCUUACUCUAUCGACUUCGAGGCUCUCGAGCGGGAAGCAAAAGAUGCUGCACGGGAGUACUCUCGCUCUCUCUCCGGUGAACUCAAGAUCGAAGAUGAGGCCUUUGAUAAAAAAGAACGUGGUGGAAAGAGAAAUAAGCGUGCAACCUUGAAAAGGAAUACAAUACCCGACAAUCUUCUCUCAAGGGUUGCUAUUGUUGGAAGGCCAAAUGUUGGUAAAUCAGCAUUGUUUAAUCGUCUUGUUGGGGGAAACAAAGCUAUUGUUGUGGAUGAACCUGGGGUCACAAGGGAUCGUUUGUAUGGUAGAUCCUUUUGGGGAGAACAUGAAUUUAUGGCGGUGGAUACUGGAGGCGUUCUCACAAUUUCGACAUCACAAGAUGAUCUCAUGGAAGACCUGGCUAUUACAACUACUAUAGGUAUGGAUGGGAUACCACUUGCGACAAGGGAAGCAGCUGUUGCAAGGAUGCCCUCCAUGAUUGAGAGACAAGCUGCUAUGGCUGUGGAAGAAUCAUUUGUCAUUAUAUUCCUCGUUGAUGGCCAGGCUGGUCUAACAGCUGCUGAUGUGGAAAUAGCUGACUGGUUGCGGAAGAAUUACUCCCACAAGAACAUCAUACUUGCGGUGAACAAGUGUGAAUCUCCACGAAGAGGAAUAAUGCAGGCAGCUGAGUUUUGGUCAUUAGGGUUUACACCACUUCCGGUUUCGGCUAUUUCUGGAACUGGGACUGGUGAGCUUCUUGAUAUUGUUUGUGCCGGACUCGAGAAGAUUAUGGAACCAGAGAAUUUUGAUGAUGAAGAGAACUAUAUUCCAUCAAUUGCUAUUGUUGGCCGUCCAAAUGUUGGUAAAAGUAGCAUACUGAAUGCGUUGGUUGGAGAGGACAGAACAAUUGUUAGUCCAAUCAGUGGAACUACACGGGAUGCUAUUGAUACCGAAUUUACUGGACCAGACGGACAGAAGUUCCGGCUGAUUGACACAGCUGGAAUCAGAAGAAGGGCAGCUGUGGCAUCAUCAGGAAGUACAACAGAGGCUUUAUCAGUGAAUAGAGCAUUCCGUGCCAUCCGGCGUUCUGAUGUUGUUGCUCUUGUCAUUGAGGCAAUGGCUUGCACUACAGAACAGGAUUACAGGAUUGCUGAGAGGAUAGAAGCAGAAGGGAAGGGCUGCUUAAUCGUUGUUAACAAGUGGGACACUAUACCGAAUAAAAAUCAGCAAACUGCGACAUACUACGAGCAAGAUGUUAGAGAGAAACUCCGUAUUCUCCACUGGGCACCUAUCAUCUAUUCAACUGCAAUAGUUGGUCAUAGCGUUGAAAAGAUCAUUGUAGCUGCUGCAGCAGUUGAAAAGGAGAGAUCAAGAAGGCUGAGCACUGCAACACUGAACCAAGUGGUGCAGGAGGCUGUAGCUUUUAAAGCACCUCCAAGAACCCGUGGUGGCAAGAGAGGGCGUGUUUACUAUUGCACUCAGGCAGCUGUGCGCCCACCUACAUUUGUUUUCUUCGUGAAUGAUGCAAAACUUUUCCCCGAGACAUAUCGUCGUUACAUGGAGAAGCAACUCCGAGCAGAUGCUGGAUUUUCGGGCACUCCUAUUCGGCUUCUGUGGCGAAGCAGGAGAAAAAUGGAAAAAGAUGGUAAGGCAUCGGCAAAUGCCCAAAGGGAUGUUGCAGCUCGUGACAGAACAUUGGCGAUAGCUGCAUGAGUAAAUAUGCUUUUAUUCAUAUGCGUGGAUCCAGAUAUUUGGAAACUUGCAUGCGAGUUCUGAGCUGAUGUAGAUUAUUGAAGCAGUCACUACCGACAGUGAGAGAAAAUAUAGGGGAGCCAGAUGGUGCUGAUGGUUUUCGUUUUCCAUGUUUCCAUCAAGGGGCUCAGCGUAUUCAUUUCAUGACGAGAAACAAAAUGGUGGUUUUCUUUCAAAGGGAGCAGUAUGGGAAGGAUAGGGACUUGAAUUCAUGUAUAUCUUGUAAUGUUCCAACCAAUAUUUUGCCAGAAAAUAUAGUUGGAGGACAUUUGCUUGUCAAUAAAUGCAUGGAGAAGUGCCAAAACUGCUGUAGGAAACUCCCUUUAUGCCAUUUUCUAACUUCUUUUUCAGGAGCACCAAGAAAUGAAAGCUCUUUAAAUUGCAGGACCAGCGCCUUAAUGUCCAAUGGAUCAGGCCCCGACUAGAGACAUCUUCAAUGCUGGGAUAACAUAGUAAUCUUCCGCAGUCUGCUGCUGCUGUUUGAAGUGAGGCAGGUAAGCCCUUGUUUGGUUUUGGAAAAUGGGUGACGCUCAAUCGCUCAUGGAUCUAGAAAGAGAUGAGGAAGUGGUAUCAUAGACACUAGAUAUGAGAAACCAUGUCAUGAAUGACAAGGAUAACUAAGUUCAUGCUGUAAUUUCUCGAAUUCUAUAUAUUAGAUUUCGUGUGUA